rnacentral:rRNA from 1 species
UACGUAGGGUGCGAGCGUUGUCCGGAAUUAUUGGGCGUAAAGAGCUCGUAGGCGGUGUGUCACGUCGGCCGUGAAAACCUGGGGCUCAACUCUGGGCGUGCGGUCGAUACGGGCAUCACUAGAGUUCGGCAGGGGAGACUGGAAUUCCUGGUGUAGCGGUGAAAUGCGCAGAUAUCAGGAGGAACACCGGUGGCGAAGGCGGGUCUCUGGGCCGAUACUGACGCUGAGGAGCGAAAGCAUGGGUAGCGAACAGGAUUAGAUACCCUGGUAGUCCAUGCCGUAAACGUUGGGCGCUAGGUGUGGGGUCCAUUCCACGGGUUCCGUGCCGCAGCUAACGCAUUAAGCGCCCCGCCUGGGGAGUACGGCCGCAAGGCUAAA